CACGUAGGGGCCAAGCGUUGUCCGGAUUUAUUGGGCGUAAAGAGCUCGUAGGCGGUUCAGUCAGUCGGGUGUGAAAUCUCCGGGCUCAACUCGGGAGGGCCACCCGAUACUGCUGUGACUCGAGUCCGGUAGGGGAGUGGGGAAUUCCUGGUGUAGCGGUGGAAAUGCGCAGAUAUCAGGAGGAACACCGGUGGCGAAGGCGCCACUCUGGGCCGGUACUGACGCUGAGGAGCGAAAGCGUGGGUAGCAAACAGG
rnacentral:rRNA from 1 species